rnacentral:rRNA from 1 species
UGGUGGGUAGUUUGACUGGGGCGGUCUCCUCCUAAAGAGUAACGGAGGAGCACGAAGGUUGGCUAAUCCUGGUCGGACAUCAGGAGGUUAGUGCAAUGGCAUAAGCCAGCUUGACUGCGAGCGUGACGGCGCGAGCAGGUGCGAAAGCAGGUCAUAGUGAUCCGGUGGUUCUGAAUGGAAGGGCCAUCGCUCAACGGAUAAAAGGUACUCCGGGGAUAACAGGCUGAUACCGCCCAAGAGUUCAUAUCGACGGCGGUGUUUGGCACCUCGAUGUCGGCUCAUCACAUCCUGGGGCUGAAGUAGGUCCCAAGGGUAUGGCUGUUCGCCAUUUAAAGUGGUACGCGAGCUGGGUUUAGAACGUCGUGAGACAGUUCGGUCCCUAUCUGCCGUGGGCGCUGGAGAACUGAGGGGGGCUGCUCCUAGUACGAGAGGACCGGAGUGGACGCAUCACUGGUGUUCGGGUUGUCAUGCCAAUGGCACUGCCCGGUAGCUAAAUGCGGAAGAGAUAAGUGCUGAAAGCAUCUAAGCACGAAACUUGCCCCGAGAUGAGUUCUCCCUGAGACUUUAGGUCUCCUGAAGGAACGUUGAAGACGAC